rnacentral:rRNA from 1 species
UACGGAAGGCAGCAGUGGGGAAUAUUGCACAAUGGGCGCAAGCCUGAUGCAGCCAUGCCGCGUGUAUGAAGAAGGCCUUCGGGUUGUAAAGUACUUUCAGUCGUGAGGAAGGUGUUAAGGUUAAUAACCUUAGCAAUUGACGUUAGCGACAGAAGAAGCACCGGCUAACUCCGUGCCAGCAGCCGCGGUAAUACGGAGGGUGCGAGCGUUAAUCGGAAUUACUGGGCGUAAAGGGCACGCAGGCGGUUAAUUAAGUUGGAUGUGAAAUCCCUGGGCUUAACCUGGGAAUGGCAUUCAAGACUGGUUAGCUAGAGUCUUGUAGAGGGGGUAGAAUUCCAUGUGUAGCGGUGAAAUGCGUAGAGAUGUGGAGGAAUACCGGUGGCGAAGGCGGCCCCUGGACAAAGACUGACGCUCAUGUGCGAAAGCGUGGGGAGCAAACAGGGAUUAGAUACC